CUUGGAAGAGAGACUAUGAAGCAGACAGACAUUGGGCCGGUUAGUGAGUGGCCCUGGAUACAGCGAUAAACUGAGGCAGCCUGCAAAUUAAACCCCCUCCCCCUUCUCCAGGCCUGCAGGGACACAAGUGACCAAGUGACACGAAGCUAAAAGGGCGAAGAGGGGGAAUCGCUUCUGUGGUCACUGAAGGGACAGAUCCGCACGGGGGCAGCAAAGUGCCACGUUCGCUUCGGAAACGUUUCUGCCCAGAGACUGACUCGGGGAAUAAUCACCAGGAAUUAUUGGCUUCAGCUCUGCAGGCUGGGCUGGCUCUUCAGCGCGAGGCUCUGUCCAACCUAAUCCCUUCCCAUUCCGCACGAGUUCGGUGCCCAGCGCCCCUUGGAAGGUCUGAGAUCACCGCUCACAGGCAGAUUUCCCCGCUGGAGAGUGCCCGUGUUUACACAUCCCUGGACUCUGUGUUAUGUCAGUUUCACAUCCACUGGGUGUGACAUUGUGACAACCCGCCACAGGGCACCGUAACAUUCAGCUUCACCGAUUGUCCCUUAGCUCACACGGACGCCUCGCUGAGGUCACAGUAGCUCCCAUGUUGUCCUAGAUCGGGGCCCAGAUUCCAUAGCUCUGCUCUGGCCUCCUCCGUGGCUGUGUCCCCCCAGAUUCUGAGGCCAUUUAUUUGUACGUGUGGGCAAAGCCGCGCUUUCGUCACACGAUGUAGCCACGCUCAUAUGCAAAUUAAGUAGGGAAACUGCCUGAUAAAGAACAGCCAGGGAGCCUCGCCAACAGGCGGCGGGUUUCCUGCUUUGCAGCGCACAAGGUGGUGGAGGAGAAUGACAAUGAUCGGUCUGGGGUUCUGUUUCCUUCUGGCGGCUGUCUCAGGGGCCAGCUCCCAAAUCCAGCUGAUCCAGUCUGGGUAUUACUGCGCUCGGGACACGGUGACACAAACCAAAACAACAGCCCUUCAAAAACCCCAGUGAGAGAACCCAGGUGUCCUGCCAACCCUGGAGCCUUUAGUCCCUCCGGCGAGCAUUUGCCCAGAUCAACAAGCCGGGGUCAUUUGUCCCAAAUUUCAUAGGCCCGUCACGGUCAGUUGUUUAGUUAUUUCUGGCUGCAGCGUUAAAUCAGUUUUCAGAACAGGCUUCUGUGACAGUCAUCUGUGUCAGCAGCAAAACAGCCCGGAGCGAAUGCCCUGAGUGAUAUACGAUAGGAGAUUUGAAGGAGGGGUUUUCAAUAUCUCUGCUUGAAGGUGUUCCUCAGUGAAUAAAUAAAUACUGGACUGAAAGAGAAGAGGGGUGCCUGCACCCCAUGUCAACCUCCCUUUGACAGUGGAGUCUCAAAUUCCUGCUCCCACAUCAGGCUCAAGAGGGAUGAUCCUGGCUGUUUCAUUUCCUAGAAACCCUCGUACCUGUUUCUCAUCAGUCUCGGAAGCUCUUUCUAAGGAGCGGUCAGCCCCGUUUCACAGAGGGGGAAACUGAGGUACAGGAAGCAGAAGGGACUUGCCCGCAGUCCCCCAGCACCCAGGAGCAAAGCCAGGAACCGCAUUCACGUUUCCUGAGUCCCAGCCUGGUUCUUUGUCCUCGCAGACUAGUAUGCUCCAUAUCCAGCAGUGCGGACGUGACCGUGCGGGGUUGCAGGUAAGACUAGAGCAAACUUUUUAAUACCAGGGACCGCAAACCCAUUCACAAACUUUUAGCAGACCGGUAACAGUUAAUUUGCAUAUUUGCAUAUUCUCGGUCUCCAACUCUUGAGCAGAUCCCAACAGCUGAGCCAAACAUAGAAUCGCCCAUUCCCAGCUGGAAUGGCGCCGGUGUGGAUCAGGCUUCGCGCGGAGGCACUAGGGGGCAGUGUUGCUACACAUCUGAGGCAGCGGCAGGCGGUAAGAAGUUGAUGCGGAUUCAACCUUUACCUUGGUUUCCUGGAAUCGUCCCCAUCUAUCAGCCGACCCCCCACCCUGCCCUUAUCUUUAGGAGGGCUCCAUGUGCCCCUGCAUGAUCUUCAGACCGGCCUGCCUAUGGGGCGGGGGGACGGGGCAAUUUCCCAAGGGCCUUGACAAUUUUAAAGGGCCCAGGGCCCCCCAGCCGCUCCUGCUGACAGCACCCUCCACACAUGGAAGCAGCCGGGACCGUCCCUGCGGCAUCUGGGGGUGGGAUGUCUCUGCGGGCUGCCCCCUCCCAGC